rnacentral:rRNA from 1 species
CCUACGGGAGGCAGCAGUGGGGAAUAUUGGUCAAUGGGCGAAAGCCUGAACCAGCAAUGCCGCGUGAGUGAUGAAGGCCUUCGGGUUGUAAAGCUCUGUCGGGAGGGACGCGGUACCUCCAAAGGAAGCACCGGCUAACUCUGUGCCAGCAGCCGCGGUAAUACAGAGGGUGCAAGCGUUGUUCGGAAUUACUGGGCGUAAAGCGCGUGUAGGCUGCAAGGUCAGUCGGAUGUGAAAGCCCUUGGCUCAACCAAGGAAGUGCAUCCGAUACUGCUUCGCUUGAGUGUCGGAGGGGGCGGCGGAAUUCCCGGUGUAGAGGUGAAAUUCGUAGAUAUCGGGAGGAACACCUGUGGCGAAGGCGGCCGCCUGGACACACUGACGCUGAGACGCGAAAGCGUGGGUAGCAAACAGGAUUAGAUACCCUAGUAGUC